AGCCCGGAGGCUCGCGGUGGCAAGUCGGAAGCGUUCGCACCAGCGAGGCAGCGGCCGGGCGGCGGCGGCGGCCGCGGGCAGGACGGAGCGGGCAGGGCGGCCAGGAGAGGCAGCGUCCCUCCGCGCACGGCGAGCCGGCGGGAGAGCGCGAUCCCGCUGCGGAGCCCCGACGCUGCCCUGCCCCGGAUUUCAGUGCGCGGCGUGGGGCUCGGCGAGCGGAAUUCCGGCGGCGGCCGCGACUCCGGUGCAAGGUGAGGGAGCAUGAACGGCCUUGAAUGCGCCCCUGGGCAUAUUUAGCCAUUCGCUUUUCAUUAGGAGAAAGAAGACGGCCAUCCGCUUGAGAGGCAAAGCUCCAGUGACCAAAGAGCUAUAGAUCUUCUGAAUUUUGAGAGCAGUGAAAUAGGAGCAUAGCAGAGAGCGUAUGAAAGACAGCACGUUGGAAGGAAGAUUGAUGCAGACAAAAGCAACAUGAUUCAGGGACAUCACUGAGAUCUUUGGGGACUGCACAGAAGCGUCUGGUUGGGAACGUCAUGAAGGAAGGGGCAAGACCCUGCCCAAGGAAGCGUACGUGAGAAUAACGGAGAAGGAGCCCGUCGAUAUACGCAGUACAGCCGCUGUUGGAGUAGAUGCCCGCUGAGUACUUGGCAUUGCACACCAGAAGAAUUAGCCCUGAUGGAAAUGAUUCAUUCCCUCUUUCAAGAAUUAAUCAUCAACAAAGGAAACACAGAGCUGCUGUCCAGAAUGGUCACAAGUGCACAGUUAGAGGUUUCUGCGUGCACGUUAGUAAAGGCCUGGAAACUGAGUUCUGGAAGGAUUCAGUAACGGACAAACACCACUCCGCGGGUACACAGCAGAGGUGUCGUUCAAGCCUGUCUGUCCAGCCCGAGUCAAACCUCCUCCACUGUUCAUGGUUUUUUGAAAGUCUUCCACGCCAAGUGACCAGCCUAGAGGGCUCUU